rnacentral:rRNA from 1 species
GCUUGUCUCAAGAUUAAGCCAUGCAUGUAUAAGUAUAAACGCUUUAAGCGUGAAACUGCGUACGGCUCAYUACAACAGCAAUAAUUUACUUGAUCUUGACAACCUACAUGGAUAACUGUGGUAAUUCUAGAGCUAAUACAUGCACCGAAGCUCCGACCCGCGAGGGGAGAGCGCAUUUAUUAGAACAAAACCAAGCGGCUUCGGCCGUCCAUUGUUGACUCAGAAUAACUAAGCUGAUCGUACGGUCUUGUACCGACGACGUGUCUUUCAAGUUUCUGCCUUAUCAACUUUCGAUGGUAGUGUAUCUGACUACCAUGGUGGUGACGGGUAACGGAGGAUAAGGGUUCGACUCCGGAGAAGGGGCCUGAGAAAUGGCCACUACGUCUAAGGAUGGCAGCAGGCGCGCAAAUUACCCACUCUCAAUGCGAGGAGGUAGUGACGAGAAAUAACGAGGCCGUUCUCUUUGAGGCCGGUCAUCGGAAUGGGUACAAUUUAAACCCUUUAACGAGUAUCUAUGAGAGGGCAAGUCUGGUGCCAGCAGCCGCGGUAAUUCCAGCUCUCAAAAUGCAUAGAAUUAUUGCUGCGGUUAAAAAGCUCGUAGUUGGAUCUGUGCCUGUGCUCCGGUCCACCUCGCGGUGCGCACUGGGUGUCACAGGCUUUCCUGCAGUGUUCAGCCCCGGCGCCUUCACCGGCACCGGUGUGUUGAUGCUGCAAGUUUACUUUGAACAAAUCGGAGUGCUCCAAACAGGCGUUUGCUUGAACGUUCGUGCAUGGAAUAAUAGAAGAGGAUUUCGGUUCAAUUUUAUUGGUUUUAUUGGCCGAGAUAAUGGUUAACAGAGACAAACGGGGGCAUUUGUAUUGCUGCGUGAGAGGUGAAAUUCUUGGACC